AGGCCGGAGCCCCGGUUUCGGCCGCCACGCCGCGCCUGUCCGUGGUUUGCUGCCCACGAAGGUGGACGGGGAGGUGGCGAAACCGCACCCUCCGUCCCCUCCUUGUCCUCCCCCAGGCUUACCGCCGGGCCGGAGCUAUAUAUAGGCGGGGCGCUCCCUCUCCGGCUCCUCACGGGAUUCGAUUCGCUUCGGUUUGGAUUGGGUUGUUUCCUGAAUCCUGAUUUGAUCGGUGGUGCGCUUGGAGCUGCUUGGUUUGGGAUUCUUCUCGGAGAUUUCUGGGGAACGAGGCAAUGGCGACCGCCGGGAAGGUGAUCAAGUGCAAAGCCGCGGUGGCAUGGGAGGCCGGGAAGCCGCUGUCGAUCGAGGAGGUGGAGGUGGCUCCGCCGCAGGCCAUGGAGGUGCGCGUCAAGAUCCUCUACACCUCGCUCUGCCACACCGACGUCUACUUCUGGGAGGCCAAGGGGCAGACGCCCGUGUUCCCUCGGAUCUUUGGGCAUGAGGCAGGAGGUAUCAUAGAGAGUGUUGGAGAGGGUGUGACUGACGUGGCCCCUGGUGACCAUGUCCUUCCUGUGUUCACUGGGGAGUGCAAGGAGUGCCCCCACUGCAAGUCAGCCGAGAGCAAUAUGUGUGAUCUGCUCAGGAUCAACACUGACCGGGGUGUGAUGAUUGGUGAUGGCAAGUCGCGGUUUUCAAUCAAUGGGAAGCCCUAUCUACCAUUUUGUUGGGACAUCCACCUUCAGCGAGUACACUGUCAUGCAUGUUGGUUGUGUUGCAAAGAUCAACCCUGAGGCUCCCCUUGAUAAAGUUUGUGUUCUUAGCUGUGGUAUUUCUACUGGUCUUGGUGCAACAAUUAAUGUUGCAAAACCUCCAAAGGGUUCUACAGUGGCUAUUUUCGGUCUAGGAGCUGUUGGUCUUGCUGCUGCCGAAGGUGCAAGGAUUGCUGGAGCGUCAAGGAUCAUUGGUGUUGAUCUAAACCCCAGCAGAUUCGAAGAAGCUAGGAAGUUUGGUUGCACUGAAUUUGUGAACCCAAAAGACCACAACAAGCCAGUGCAGCAGGUACUUGCUGAGAUGACCAAUGGAGGAGUUGACCGCAGCGUGGAAUGUACUGGAAACAUCAACGCUAUGAUCCAAGCAUUUGAGUGUGUUCAUGACGGAUGGGGUGUGGCUGUGCUUGUUGGUGUGCCACACAAAGAUGCUGAAUUCAAGACUCACCCAAUGAACUUCCUGAACGAGAGGACCCUGAAGGGAACCUUCUUCGGCAACUAUAAGCCACGCACUGACCUGCCCAAUGUGGUUGAGCUGUACAUGAAGAAGGAGCUGGAGGUGGAGAAGUUCAUUACGCACAGCGUCCCAUUCGCGGAGAUCAACAAGGCCUUCGACCUGAUGGCGAAGGGGGAGGGCAUCCGCUGCAUCAUCCGCAUGGAGAACUAGAUUCAGUCGCGUGGCUUGCCUGAUUCGGGUUUGGGCUAAUAAAGGUAGCAGUGUCUGGUGAGCCUGCCCUGUCGAUGGGGGAGGAAAGAUACACAGUGGUGGCAUCCCACCCAUGUGUGUCACGUCCAGUUUGGCCUUGUCAAUCAGUAGGGUGUAGCUUCCAGCGUCUGUGAUUAUCUAUCGGCAUGAGUCUCUCGAACUGUCUUUCGGCUUAAUAUAUGGUAUGGUACGUACCACUAUGAGUUUGAGUCGACCAGGCUGUUUUGAUUCAUUUGUGCUGCACUGGUUGGUGAUUUUUGCUGAUCUGUUUGUGGGCCUGUGAAUCAGUUGAAUUUCAUCUUGCCUCUGGUGGUUUCAACGUUA